UACGUAGGGCGCAAGCGUUGUCCGGAAUUAUUGGGCGUAAAGAGCUCGUAGGCGGUCUGUCGCGUCGGAUGUGAAAGCCCGGGGCUUAACCCCGGGUCUGCAUUCGAUACGGGCAGACUAGAGUGUGGUAGGGGAGAUCGGAAUUCCUGGUGUAGCGGUGAAAUGCGCAGAUAUCAGGAGGAACACCGGUGGCGAAGGCGGAUCUCUGGGCCAUACUGACGCUGAGGAGCGAAAGCGUGGGGAGCGAACAGG
rnacentral:rRNA from 1 species